rnacentral:rRNA from 1 species
CUGCAUGAAGGCUUCUCUUUACCAAGAAGAUACUGCACCUUUAUCUAUCUUUUUCAACUCACCUACUUUUGACAAAAGCUACACAAACCCUCUUUUCUACUUUGACUUCGAUGUAAAUACUCCAUAUUUAAUAUUUUUUAAAAAUUUGUAAUAAGAGCAAUUCUAACAAAAAAAACAAUAAACAAAGCAAAAGUCAAAACCCAUGGUAGGCCUGUCUUUUGGAUAAUAAAGAAGAUUUUUGAACAUUAUAAACAGCAGUGCCAAUCCUCACAACCAGAGAAUCUGAGAAUUAAAAACACAUUCUAAACGUCUUCAUACUUCGGAUAUACAAGAUUGGGGGGUUGGGAGAUGGGCGCAGGAUUUUAUGAUUUUACAGGCUUUUGCAAUCUUUAUGAAUUUUUGGGAUUUCAAAUGCACAAGGUCGCUUGAGAAUCUUGAGAAUUUUUUACUCAUUUUCAUUUUUGCAAAAUCUAUCUGGCAGCCAUCCUUCUGCAAGGCGAUGACUUUGAGACCUGAUUCCUUAGCCCAAAUCGCAAUAAACCCAUUCUUCUCUUAAGGUCGCCACAUCAAAUGCAGAGCUUUUAUACGCAUUUUAGAUUUUCAUCAAUUUACACUCUCAAUCAUGCCAAGCUUUAAAAGAAUUUUUCUCCUCCCAAAAGCAUUCCUGUCGCAAAAAAAUCCUAAGCACUCCAAGUUUUUAUCGCGCACCAUUGGACAGAAAAACCAUAUACUCAAUAAAGCGGAUAGCAAAGUUUUAUCACAUAAACCAAACGCUCAAUUGGUAUUGGUUGGCUAAAGAUAUUACUAUACUUACACACCCAAUCUCUCUAAUGUAAAAAAGCAUGAAAAUCAACCACAAAUGUCAGGAAACUCAAGAAUGUUUAACUGGGAAGAUCCACCCUUUUUCUUUCUUGGAUCUAUAAAAAAUAAAGGAACAAAACGAAACUACAAGGAAAGAACAAAGGGUAACAUAAAACUAAACAAGGAACGAAUAAAUAAAAGCAGAUUCAAAAAAUAAGGAGAUUUCCCUAACCCUGCAUCGACCUACGUUCCCACACCUGAAAGGUGCAGUAUCAUCAGCGAAGAGAAGCUUAACUGCCAGGUUCGGAAUGGAGCUGGGUGUUUCCUUCUCUCUAUAGACACAAGGAAAAGGGAAUUAAAAACAAAUCGCAUUUGCUCUUAAUUCCAUCUUCCUUCUUAUAUCUAGGAAAUCUCUUCAUUGCUAAGCCUAAAAGAAUAAAACCAAAUACACUCAAUAAGGCAGUGAUAACAAAUACUUAAGUCUUAUCACAUAAAAAUAAGCCAAACGGUCAAUUAGUAUUGGUCAGCUAAAUAUAUUACUAUACUUACACACCCAACCUAUCAAGCAAGUAGUCUUCUUGCGACCUUAGGGAAAGUUUAUCUUGGAGUUGGCUUCCCGCUUAGAUGCUUUCAGCGGUUAUCACAUCCAUGCGUAGCUACCCAGCGAUGCUCUUGGCAGAACAACUGGUACACUAGUGGCAUGUCCAUCCCGGUCCUCUCGUACUAGGGACAGCUCUCCUCAACUUUCCUACGCCCACGGCAGAUAGGGACCGAACUGUCUCACGACGUUCUGAACCCAGCUCGCGUACCGCUUUAAAUGGCGAACAGCCAUACCCUUGGGACCUGCUCCAGCCCCAGGAUGCGAUGAGCCGACAUCGAGGUGCCAAACCUCCCCGUCGAUGUGAGCUCUUGGGGGAGAUCAGCCUGUUAUCCCCGGGGUACCUUUUAUCCUUUGAGCGAUGGCCCUUCCACACAGAACCACCGGAUCACUAUGACCGACUUUCGUCUCUGCUCGACUUGUUUGUCUUACAGUCAGGCUGGCUUAUGCCAUUACACUCAACUUGCGAUUUCCAACCGCAAUGAGCCAACCUUUGCAAGCCUCCGUUACUUUUUAGGAGGCGACCGCCCCAGUCAAACUACCCACCAGGCAUUGUCCUGCUUGAGGAUAACUCAAGCCAGUUAGCAGACAGAAACAUUAAGGGUGGUAUCUCAAGGAUGGCUCCAUCUCCACCGGAGUGAAGAUUUCAAAGCCUCCCACCUAUCCUGCGCAUAAUGCUCCCAUCGGCAGUGCCAAGCUGUAGUAAAGGUCCACGGGGUCUUUCCGUCUUGCCGCGGGUAGGAGGAAUUUUCACCUCCACUACAAUUUCACUGAAUCUCUCUUUGAGACAGCUCCCAUCUCGUUACGCCAUUCAUGCAGGUCGGUAUUUAACCGACAAGGAAUUUCGCUACCUUAGGACCGUUAUAGUUACGGCCGCCGUUUACUCGGGCUUCAAUUCAAAGCUUCAUCAUUGCUGACUGACUCAUCCUCUUAACCUUCGAGCACCGGGCAGGCGUCACACCUUAUACUUCCUCUUACGAGUUGGCAAAGUGCUGUGUUUUUGGUAAACAGUCGGGAGGGACUCUUUGCUGAGACCUACUUUCAUAGGCACACCUUAUCGCGAACUUACGGUGCUAGUUUGCAGAGUUCCUUAAAGAGAGUUCUUUCACGCGCCUUAGAAUACUCAUCUCAUCUACCUGUGUCGGUUUGCGGUACGGGCAACCAUUGCUAAACUUAGAGGCUUUUCUUGGCACGACGGUAUCAGUGACACUCUUAUCCAUCCGAAGACUUCAAAGAGCUCAUCGAGCUUGUGAUACAGGAGUGGAUUUGCCUAUCUCCCAACUUACACUCUUAAACUAACUAUUCCAUCAGUUAGCGCACUUAACCCUAUGCGUCCCCCCAUCGCACACAAUGGUUGGUAUGGGAAUAUUAACCCAUUUUCCAUCGACUACCCCUUUCGGACUUGUCUUAGGACCCGACUAACCCUACGAUGACGAGCAUAGCGUAGGAAACCUUAGAUUUACGGCGAAUAUGAUUCUCACAUAUUUUAUCGCUACUCAUUCCUGCAUGCUCACUUCGCAUCGCUCCAGCACUCCUUACCGGUAUACCUUCAACGCAGAUACGAACGCUCUUCUACCACUGUGCAAAGCACAAUCUACAACUUCGGUGUCUAUCUUAGCCCCGUUAUAUUUUCAGCGCAGAAUCACUAGACCAGUGAGCUGUUACGCUUUCUUUAAAGGAUGGCUGCUUCUAAGCCAACCUCCUGGUUGUCUGAGUAACUCCACAUCUUUUUCCACUUAGAAUAGAACUUGGGGACCUUAGUUGGUAGUCUGGGUUGUUUCCCUCUUGACGAUUGAUUUUAUCACCCACCGCCUGACUCCCAAGAUACGGUAAUAGGUAUUUGAAGUUUGACAGGGUUUGGUACCGCGGUGAGCAGCCCUAGCCCAAUCAGAGCUCUACCCCCUAUUACUAUCACUUGAGGCUAUACCUAAAUAUAUUUCGAAGAGAACCAGCUAUCACUGAGUUUGUUUGGCCUUUCACCCCUAUCCACAGCUCAUCCCAACCCGUUUCAAUGGGUACGAGUUCAGUCCUCCAUAAGCUAUUACACUUACUUCAACUUGGCCAUGGAUAGAUCACUCAGCUUCGGGUCUGCAGCAUCUGACUAAGCGCCCUUUCAGACUCGCUUUCGCUACGGCUUCACGUUUGUUUAACCUUGCCAGAUACCACAACUCGCAGGAUCAUUAUGCAAAAGGCAGUCCAUCACCCUGAUACACCCCAUAAAACCUUACGAUCUUAUGGAGACUCCAAUGAUAUAAUUAUUGAGAUACGCGCUAUAAAGUAAAACUUUAUGGGAUGUAUCAUAGGGCUCUGAAUGAUUGUAGGCAGAUGGUUUCAGGUUCUAUUUCACUCCGCUCACUGCGGUUCUUUUCACCUUUCCCUCACGGUACUUGUGCACUAUCGGUAAGAGAGUAGUAUUUAGGGUUGGAGAGUGGUCUCCCCGGCUUCAGCCCGGAUUUCACGUGUCCUGGCCUACUCUGGAUCCUGCUACCUAGAAAUCAUCUUUCGUAUACGGGGCUAUCACCCUGUGUCGCCAAACUUUCCAGAUUGUUCUACUAAAUGAUCUCAGUGGAUGUCGCAGUCCUCAACCCCGAAUGCAAGCAUUCGGUUUGCCCUCUUCCCCGUUCGCUCGCCGCUACUAAGAGAAUCUCAUUUGAUUUCUUUUCCUCCAGCUACUGAGAUGUUUCACUUCGCUGGGUUCGCUCCAUUAAAGGUAACUAGCUAGUGCUAGUUGGGUUGUCCCAUUCGGAAAUCUACGGAUCAAAGCUUCUUGACAGCUCCCCGUAGCUUAUCGCAGUCUAGUACGUCCUUCAUCGCCUCUCUCUUCCAAGGCAUCCACCAUCUGCCCUUAAAAGCUUAUUUUCACAUAAGAUCUAAAAGUUCUUAUGAUGCUCUUAAAGUAUGGAUAAAAUAGUUAAGUAUUCUAAAGUUAUCACUGCCUUAUUGAAUGUAUUUCUACUUCCAAUAAAAACAGAGGUAAUUGUAGUCUUAUUACUAUUCAUAGGCUUAACAAUAAUAAAUUAAAAAACACUUAGGCUUAGCCUAAUGUAAAUCCUAUAGAGAAUACUGUGAGAUUAGAAAGAUUUUUAUUGCAAACUCUUUUCAAGCUUGCUUUUGCUUUUCUAAAUCUCUUGAUUCAAAUCUCUUGAUUCAUUCUUAAGAGAAUUUACAUUAGACUAACAAAAAGAUUCUAUUGCUUUGAAGUAAGUCAUUGGUGGAGAAUAGCGGGAUCGAACCGCUGACCUCCUGCGUGCAAAGCAGGCGCUCUCCCAGCUGAGCUAAUUCCCCUCUAAUGAAUGGUGGGCUUAAGAGGACUUGAACCUCUGACCUCACCCUUAUCAGGGGUGCGCUCUAACCACCUGAGCUAUAAGCCCCUACAAGGACGAUACUCAUUUGAUAGAAUCUCUGAAAACUAAGCAAGAGUUAAAAAUUCUUUUUACACUUAUUUUUUAUCAAGAUAAACAAAUACCUUGAUCUUACUCUAGAAAGGAGGUGAUCCAACCGCAGGUUCACCUACGGUUACCUUGUUACGACUUCACCCCAGUCGCUGCAUCCGCCGUGGACGGUAGCCAAUUUAGCAUCCCGGCUUAAGGCGAAUACAACUCCCAUGGUGUGACGGGCGGUGAGUACAAGACCCGGGAACGUAUUCACCGUGACAUGGCUGAUUCACGAUUACUAGCGAUUCCAGCUUCAUGUAGUCGAGUUGCAGACUACAAUCCGAACUGAGAGAUGUUUUUGAGAUUUGCUCCACCUCGCGGUAUUGCGUCUCUUUGUGCACCCCAUUGUAGCACGUGUGUAGCCCUAGGCGUAAGGGCCAUGAUGACUUAACGUCGUCCUCACCUUCCUCCUCCUUACGAAGGCAGUCUUCUUAGAGUGCUCAGCCGAACUGCUAGCAACUAAGAACGAGGGUUGCGCUCGUUGCGGGACUUAACCCAACAUCUCACGACACGAGCUGACGACAGCCGUGCAGCACCUGUUUUCAAGGUCUAGUAAACUAGACACUCCGCUAUUUCUAGCAGAUUCUAUCAAUGUCAAGCCUAGGUAAGGUUCUUCGCGUAGCAUCGAAUUAAACCACAUGCUCCACCGCUUGUGCGGGUCCCCGUCUAUUCCUUUGAGUUUUAAUCUUGCGACCGUACUCCCCAGGCGGAAUGCUUAAUGUGUUAACUGCAUUACUGGAGUGACAAGCACCCCAACAACUAGCAUUCAUCGUUUAGGGCGUGGACUACCAGGGUAUCUAAUCCUGUUUGCUCCCCACGCUUUCGCGCAUCAGCGUCAGUAAUGUUCCAGUAGGUCGCCUUCGCAAUGAGUAUUCCUCUUGAUCUCUACGGAUUUUACCCCUACACCAAGAAUUCCACCUACCUCUCCCACACUCUAGAAUAACAGUUUCAAAUGCAGUUCUGUAGUUAAGCUACAGGAUUUCACAUCUGACUUAUUACUCCGCCUACGCGCUCUUUACGCCCAGUGAUUCCGAGUAACGCUUGCACCCUCCGUAUUACCGCGGCUGCUGGCACGGAGUUAGCCGGUGCUUAUUCCUAAGAUACCGUCAUUAUCUUCUCUUAGAAAAGGAGUUUACAAUCCUAAAACCUUCAUCCUCCACGCGGCGUUGCUGCUUCAGGCUUUCGCCCAUUGAGCAAUAUUCCCUACUGCUGCCUCCCGUAGGAGUCUGGACCGUGUCUCAGUUCCAGUGUGUCCGAUCACCCUCUCAGGCCGGAUACCCGUCAUAGCCUUGGUGAGCCAUUACCUCACCAACAAGCUGAUAGGACAUAGGCUGAUCCCAUAGCGAAAAACUUUCCCCCGUAGGGAGUAUCCAGUAUUAAUCACCGUUUCCAGUGGCUAUCCCAGACUAUGGGGCACAUAACCUAUGCGUUACUCACCCGUGCGCCACUAAUCCACUUCUAGCAAGCUAGAAGCUUCAUCGUUCGACUUGCAUGUAUUAGGCACGCCGCCAGCGUUCACUCUGAGCCAGGAUCAAACUCUCCAUAAUGAAAUGAAGGAAGUUUGAGCCCACAUAUAAAUAAAUGCAGACAAAAACUCUCCAUAAUGAAAUGGAAAUUCUUUCCCGAACUCUUAGCUUUUUCUCUCUAUCACAAGUUUAGACUUAAAAAAUUAAAGUAUAAACAGAGUUGUAAAAAAUAAAAUUGCUAAGAAAUUUAAAUUGUCAAAAUAUCUCUGCAAAAACUCUUGAGAAAAGUUUUUGGGAAAUAAGUGUAAUCAAAUUUAAAAUCUCUUGCUUAGAUUUCAAAGAUCACCACCAAAUAAAAUAUAUUAAUGCCAAGUAAGUUUUACUUCGAACAUAAACAAUAUUAAAUCUAGUAAAAGAACAACCUAAAAUUCAACAACAAAACCGACAAAAUGUGUUUUUCAAAUUCUACUCAAAGCAAAGUUCUUUAAAAGGAAUCACAAGAUUUGGUAAGCUUUGUUUCGCUUUAGGAAGUGAAAUAGUACACAUUAUUUCCUUAGAUAAUCCUUAAGCCAAAGAAAUUUGAUGGAAAUUUUAUGGAAAAAAGUUUUUUGCAAAGAAAGGGGAUUUUCUUUAAAUGCAAGAGAAGGCAAUGCUAGAGCACGCAGGAAUCGCGAUAUCAGCACUCCUGCAAGGGUUGUGCGCCGCGUAGAUGUUUGUCGGAU